CUGCUCCAGAUUAUUCUGAGGAUCAAACUCAACCAAAGAUUUGAUGAGUAGAAGCCUUAAUACAAAUUUGAAGAGGAUCUGAUAAGAAACAAAAGCACUAUCCCAGAGACAAGAGUUAAUAUGGAAUAUUUUUUUCUAGUCCUCCAACCCAAUAAAAAGGUUCCCAAAUUCAGAUUUUUCAGAUUCUUUUUUUUUUAUUCAACAACAGUAUUGCACAUGCUGUUAACAAUUACUCCACUGACACAGCUAUCUCAGUGAAGGUCCUGUUAACAAUUACUCCACUGACACAGCUAUCUCAGUGAAGGUCCUGUUAACAAUUACUCCACUGACACAGCUAUCUCAGUGAAGGUCCCCCACGCUGUUAACAAUUACUCCACUGAUACAGCUAUCUCAGUGAAGGUCCCCCACGCUGUUAACAAUUACUCCACUGAUACAGCUAUCUCAGUGAAGGUCCCUGUUAACAAUUACUCCACUGACACAGCUAUCUCAGUGAAGGUCCCUGUUAACAAUUACUCCACUGACACAGAUAUCUCAGUGAAGGUCCCCCACGCUGUUAACAAUUACUCCACUGAUACAGCUAUCUCAGUGAAGGUCCCUGUUAACAAUUACUCCACUGACACAGCUAUCUCAGUGAAGGUCCCCCACGCUGUUAACAAUUACUCCACUGAUACAGCUAUCUCAGUGAAGGUCCCCCACGCUGUUAACAAUUACUCCACUGACACAGCUAUCUCAGUGAAGGUCCCCCACGCUGUUAACAAUUACUCCACUGACACAGCUAUCUCAGUGAAGGUCCCUGUUUCAUUAGUACCAGAAGUUCAGGGAUUCUUCAGGUAGAUAAACUGCAUAUUGUUAGUCGUUUACAAAAAUAUUAAUAUAACAUCAAUAAAAUAAAUAAUGUCAUUAUUUUAAUGUAUUUGUAUCAACUGCUGAACUAGCGUUAACAUGCAAGAGAUAAACAGAAUUUCAUAGCUCAUCUGAGAUUGGGUCCUUUGUUUGUAACAAAAAAUUUGAAGUUCAUUCAACAUAUUGAAAAGUAUCAGCACACAGGAAGUAGGUGUAUGACAUCUGAAAAGUGCUCACACAUUAUAAUUACAACUAAUCACUGCAAAGCUGCUGAUCAAAUAUGAAGUCAUUCUGUUCAAUAGUUCCAUAGAAAAACGUGACAAAAAUAUGUCUACUUAUAAAGUACGGCAGAUGUACAACCUACAUGUACCUAAACAUUGUGAAAGGGUCACACAUGGAUAUUUUCGUUAUGUAUCAAAUACCUAGUAUUGUUCAAUUAUCUUUAAUCACCUAAUUAGCAGAAGUGAUAAAACUUCCAAAGGCUAAUUAUAUUUGUACCUUUUACAGGAAGUAGGCGUCUGAAAGAUCUGAAAAGUGCACAUAUGGUACAACUCAUUGUGGUCAAGCUGCUGACCAAAUAUGAAGUUGUUCUGUUUAAUUGUUCCUGAGAAAAGUGUGACAAAAAUAUUUGUGGACAAACAAGACAGAAAAGUUGAAUGCAAUAAUCACCUGAUUAGUAGAAGCCAAUUAUUAACAGAGGUGAUAAAACUUAUAAAGGCUAAUUAUAUUUGUACCUUUAUGUUUAUGUCCCUUAAUUACACAAUGAGGUAAAAUAUUAACUGGAAAGGAAGAAAGACAUGUAAUUCAAAAAGUGCAUUAGUGAAAAGGCAGAUGGAUAAUCAUAUUUGUACUUUUAGGUCAAUGUCAGUUAAUAGGAGUAAUGACACAAUCAGGUACCAAUUUUACCAUUACGGCUGAAAGACAUGUAAUUUGAAAAGUUUAUUUUUGAAAAUGCACUAGAGUGUUUUUUUGCCCUGUACAGUAAA